CAGUCGCCACGGUAAUACGUAGGGUGCGAGCGUUAAUCGGAAUUACUGGGCGUAAAGCGUGCGCAGGCGGUUAUAUAAGACAGAUGUGAAAUCCCCGGGCUCAACCUGGGACCUGCAUUUGUGACUGUAUAGCUAGAGUACGGUAGAGGGGGAUGGAAUUCCGCGUGUAGCAGUGAAAUGCGUAGAUAUGCGGAGGAACACCGAUGGCGAAGGCAAUCCCCUGGACCUGUACUGACGCUCAUGCACGAAAGCGUGGGGAGCAAACAGGAUUAGAUACCCCGGUAGUCCCUGUCUCUUAUAC
rnacentral:rRNA from 1 species